rnacentral:rRNA from 1 species
GAUGAACGCUGGCGGCGUGCCUAAUACAUGCAAGUCGAGCGAACAGACGAGGAGCUUGCUCCUCUGACGUUAGCGGCGGACGGGUGAGUAACACGUGGAUAACUUACCUAUAAGACUGGGAUAACUUCGGGAAACCGGAGCUAAUACCGGAUAAUAUAUUGAACCGCAUGGUUCAAUAGUGAAAGACGGUUUUGCUGUCACUUAUAGAUGGAUCCGCGCCGCAUUAGCUAGUUGGUAAGGUAACGGCUUACCAAGGCAACGAUGCGUAGCCGACCUGAGAGGGUGAUCGGCCACACUGGAACUGAGACACGGUCCAGACUCCUACGGGAGGCAGCAGUAGGGAAUCUUGCGCAAUGGGCGAAAGCUUGACGGAGCAACGCCGCGUGAGUGAGGAAGGUCUUCGGAUCGUAAAACUCUGUUAUUAGGGAAGAACAAAUGUGUAAGUAACUAUGCACGUCUUGACGGUACCUAAUCAGAAAGCCACGGCUAACUACGUG